GUGUCAGCAGCCGCGGUAACACGUAGGAGACGAGCGUUAUCCGGAUUUACUGGGUGUAAAGCGCGUGUAGGCGGUCGAGUAAGUUGGAUGUGAAAGCUCCCGGCUCAACUGGGAGAGGUCGUUCAAUACUGCUUGGCUAGAGGACAGCAGAGGGGAGUGGAAUUCCGAGUGUAGCGGUAAAAUGCAUAGAUAUUCGGAAGAACACCAGUGGCGAAGGCGGCUCUCUGGGCUGGUCCUGACGCUCAGACGCGAAAGCUAGGGUAGCAAACGGGAUUAGAAACCCCCGUAGUCC
rnacentral:rRNA from 1 species